CUGGCUCAGGAUGAACGCUGGCGGUAUGCUUAACACAUGCAAGUCGAACGGAACCUUUCGGGGUUUAGUGGCGGACGGGUGAGUAACGCGUGAGAAUCGGCCCUCAGGUUGGGGACAACCAUUGGAAACGGUGGCUAAUACCGAAUAAGCCGAAAGGUGAAAGAUUAAUUGCCUGGGGAAGAGCUCGCGUCUGAUUAGCUAGUUGGUGGGGUAAAGGCCUACCAAGGCACCGAUCAGUAACUGGUCUGAGAGGAUGGCCAGUCACACUGGGACUGAGACACGGCCCAGACUCCUACGGGAGGCAGCAGUGGGGAAUUUUCCGCAAUGGGCGAAAGCCUGACGGAGCAAUACCGCGUGGGGGAGGAAGGCUCUUGGGUCGUAAACCUCUUUUCUCAGGGAAGAAUAAAUUGACGGUACCUGAGGAAUCAGCAUCGGCUAACUCCGUGCCAGCAGCCGCGGUAAUACGGAGGAUGCAAGCGUUAUCCGGAAUGAUUGGGCGUAAAGCGUCCGCAGGUGGCAGUGUAAGUCUGCUGUCAAAGGUCAGGGCUUAACCCUGAACAGGCAGUGGAAACUACACAGCUAGAGUGCGGUGGGGGCAGAGGGAAUUCCCAGUGUAGCGGUGAAAUGCGUAGAGAUUGGGAAGAACACCGGUGGCGAAAGCGCUCUGCUAGGCCGUAACUGACACUCAUGGACGAAAGCUA
rnacentral:rRNA from 1 species